rnacentral:lncRNA from 1 species
UGGCUGUGUGAAUUUCUCGGAAACUAAAGCAAGAUACAGUUCUUUCCUUCCCCUUUUCUAAUGCUUGCAGAUCUCAUCUGAGUACCACGCUUCUGUCUUCUUUCGUGGGUGAAAAAUAAGCUUGGCUUUUGGUGAGACAGACUUCUCCUGCCCUCAGCUGAGCCAGGUCCCCAUGCUUCUGUGGCUCCUUCUGCUGAUCCUGGCUCCUGGAGGAGGACAAUCAGGAGUAUCUCCAAAAGCUUUUCUUCUCCUCAAACCUCCAUGG